rnacentral:rRNA from 1 species
UGGGGAAUAUUGGACAAUGGGGGCAACCCUGAUCCAGCCAUGCCGCGUGAGUGAUGAAGGCCUUCGGGUUGUAAAGCUCUUUUGGCGGGGACGAUGAUGACGGUACCCGCAGAAUAAGCCCCGGCUAACUUCGUGCCAGCAGCCGCGGUAAGACGAAGGGGGCUAGCGUUGUUCGGAAUUACUGGGCGUAAAGCGAGUGUAGGCGGUUGCCGUAGUCAGGUGUGAAAGCCUUGAGCUCAACUCAAGAAAUGCACUUGAUACCGGGUGACUAGAGGACCGGGAGAGGAUAGUGGAAUUCCCAGUGUAGUGGUGAAAUACGUAGAGAUUGGGAAGAACACCAGUGGCGAAGGCGGCUAUCUGGACGGUUACUGACGCUAAGACUCGAAAGCGUGGGGAGCAAACAGGAUUAGAUACCCUGGUAGUCCACGCCGUAAACGAUGGGUGCUAGACGUUGGCGAGCUUGCUCGUCAGUGUCGCAGCUAACGCGUUAA